AUUUAUACUACGGAUGAGCUUAUUUUUGCGACAGUAAUCCGGUUUAGUACAACAGCAACAGUUGGUUCGGAGAGCACUAGCUCCAAGCCAAGUUCUUAAGCCACCUUGCAGUCUAACCCUAGUUUCGAGCCAAGUUCCCAACCUAGAUCACAGCCUAGCACAAGCUCCCAGCCAAGUUCUGAACCCAGAGUCAUAAUAUAUUUAUGUUCAUUCCGUACACAGUACAAAAGGAGGAGACUCAUAAUAUUUAUAUUCAUUCUAUACACAGUGCAAAACAACACGUACAAACAACACGGGUAUUCACGUACAAACAACAUGUACAAACAACACGGUAUUUUACAUGG
rnacentral:rRNA from 17 species